rnacentral:rRNA from 1 species
CCUACGGGAGGCAGCAGUGGGGAAUCUUGCGCAAUGGGCGAAAGCCUGACGCAGCAACGCCGCGUGCGGGAUGAAGGCCUUCGGGUUGUAAACCGCUUUCAGCAGGGAAGAAAUUGACGGUACCUGCAGAAGAAGCCCCGGCCAACUACGUGCCAGCAGCCGCGGUAACACGUAGGGGGCGAGCGUUGUCCGGAUUUAUUGGGCGUAAAGAGCUCGUAGGCGGUUCGGUAAGUCGGGUGUGAAACCUCCAGGCUCAACCUGGAGACGCCACCUGAUACUGCUGUGACUAGAGUCCGGUAGGGGAGUGUGGAACUCCUGGUGUAGCGGUGAAAUGCGCAGAUAUCAGGAAGAACACCAGCGGCGAAGGCGGCACUCUGGGCCGGUACUGACGCUGAGGAGCGAAAGCGUGGGUAGCAAACAGGAUUAGAUACCCUGGUAGUCCACGCCGUAAACGUUGGGCACUAGGUGUGGGUCUCAACCAACGAGAUCCGUGCCGCAGCUAACGCAUUAAGUGCCCCGCCUGGGGAGUACGGCCGCAAGGCUAAAACUUAAAUGAAUUGACGG